rnacentral:rRNA from 1 species
AGCGCAGGUGGUUGUAUAAGUCUGAAGUAAAAGGCAGUGGCUCAACCAUUGUGUGCUUUGGAGACUGUACAACUUGAGUGCAGAAGGGGAGAGUGGAAUUCCAUGUGUAGCGGUGAAAUGCGUAGAUAUAUGGAGGAACACCGGUGGCGAAAGCGGCUCUCUGGUCUGUAACUGACACUGAGGCUCGAAAGCGUGGGGAGCAAACA